AAGUGAAGCAGAGGACAGUGGCGGACGGGUGAGUAACGCGUGAGCAACCUGCCUUUCAGAGGGGGAUAACAGUUAGAAAUAGCUGCUAAUACCGCAUAAGCGCACAGUACCGCAUGGUACAGUGUGAAAAACUCCGGUGGUGUGAGAUGGACCCGCGUCUGAUUAGCUAGUUGGCAGGGCAACGGCCUACCAAGGCGACGAUCAGUAGCCGACCUGAGAGGGUGAUCGGCCACAUUGGGACUGAGACACGGCCCAGACUCC
rnacentral:rRNA from 1 species